UGUUCUGUGGCUUAGUUGGUUAAAGCGCCGGACUAGCGAUACUGAGUCAUGGGUUUUGAAUCCCACCAAAACAA
rfam:Aedes albopictus isolate Foshan contig22986, whole genome shotgun sequence.